rnacentral:rRNA from 1 species
CCUACGGGAGGCAGCAGUGGGGAAUUUUGGACAAUGGGGGGAACCCUGAUCCAGCCAUUCCGCGUGUGCGAUGAAGGCCUUCGGGUUGUAAAGCACUUUUGGCAGGAAAGAAAUCGCACGGAUUAAUACUUUGUGUGGAUGACGGUACCUGCAGAAUAAGCACCGGCUAACUACGUGCCAGCAGCCGCGGUAAUACGUAGGGUGCAAGCGUUAAUCGGAAUUACUGGGCGUAAAGCGUGCGCAGGCGGUUCGGAAAGAGAGGUGUGAAAUCCCAGGGCUUAACCUUGGAACUGCACUUUUAACUCCCGAGCUAGAGUAUGUCAGAGGGGGGUGGAAUUCCGCGUGUAGCAGUGAAAUGCGUAGAUAUGCGGAGGAACACCGAUGGCGAAGGCAGCCCCCUGGGAUGAUACUGACGCUCAUGCACGAAAGCGUGGGGAGCAAACAGGAUUAGAUACCCUGGUAGUCCACGCCCUAAACGAUGUCAACUAGCUGUUGGGGGCUUCGGCCCUUAGUAGCGCNGCUACGCGUGAGUGCCGCCGCGGAGGUACGGUCGCGAGAAGUAACGUAACGAAGAAGUAGACGCGNGAGACGAGACGACGGACGACGACGAGGGAGGAGG